UUUUACUGAUAGUUUUAAGUAUUCUAAAUUAUUUUGUUGUUGUUUCUUUGUUUAAAUAUGCUUAGGUAACAUGGGACUGGAUGAGUUUUGCAAGUUGAUUGAGAUACUGUGGCUUUGUGACUGCAUAAAGGGAAGUCCACGGGCUUGUCUCUCACCGCCAAACCAGAUUACACCCAAGAAGUUGUUCCAGGCUAAAUUCUAUUGUCAAGAAGGGGCUGACAGAUCCUUUUCCACAGACGUUGGAGGUAAUCCCUUUAAGAAAACCACCUGAGCUGGCAGAAAACCUCAGAGCAGCCCGUUUGUCAAGCAGCUAUGCAGGCUUGUUGAUAUAUUUGUUCUGGGGACAAUGCCUCUUACACACUGACCAGCUGGGAAGCAUUUGGAAAGAUUUUAUGGAUGGAUUCAGCAUUAAGUGAUGGGGUCGGCUGCAGACUGCAGUACAAGAUCAGAGUAUCUAAGCUAGCUUUCAACAAGCCCGUGCCAUUUUUAAAUGCCAUUUACCUGGUAUCAUUGACCUUGGGGAAGAACAGAUAUCACCUGUGCUCUCAAUCACCCAGGAAGAAGAGGAAGUCAGAGAGGGUUCUGAUAUUUUUAAAACCUAGUAAAAGCAAUACUGGAAUUCGGGUCAUUAACUUCAGCUGAAAACAAAGAGAAAAAUCGACUCCCGUCAUUAAGCCACAGAAUUUUGAAACAGGUGUAUGGUAAAGCACAGAGUGGUUGUUUGUUUUUUUUUAAUCACCAUAUCACAAGGACACUGGCAAAUGAAACUGCCAGACUGCAUGCAAAUAAUGAAUAAAUGUUGUCUGCAAUUUUUUUCUCUGAAUUAA
rnacentral:lncRNA from 1 species